GAGCGGCGAACGGGUGAGUAACACGUGGGUGAUCUGCCUCGCACUCUGGGAUAAGCCUGGGAAACUGGGUCUAAUACCGGAUACGACCUCCNAAUGCAUGUUCGGUGGUGGAAAGGUUUACUGGUGCGAGAUGGGCCCGCGGCCUAUCAGCUUGUUGGUGAGGUAACGGCUCACCAAGGCGACGACGGGUAGCCGACCUGAGAGGGUGACCGGCCACACUGGGACUGAGACACGGCCCAGACUCCUACGGGAGGCAGCAGUGGGGAAUAUUGCACAAUGGGCGAAAGCCUGAUGCAGCGACGCCGCGUGGAGGAUGACGGCCUUCGGGUUGUAAACUCCUUUUGACAGGGACGAAGCGCAAGUGACGGUACCUGUAGAAGAAGCACCGGCCAACUACGUGCCAGCAGCCGCGGUAAUACGUAGGGUGCGAGCGUUGUCCGGAAUUACUGGGCGUAAAGAGCUUGUAGGCGGUCUGUCACGUCUUCUGUGAAAACUUGGGGCUCAACCUUAAGCUUGCAGGGGAUACGGGCAGACUAGAGUACUUCAGGGGAGACUGGAAUUCCU
rnacentral:rRNA from 1 species